rnacentral:rRNA from 1 species
ACGAUGCGCGCAGCCUGAUCAGCAUGCCGCGUGUGUGAAGAAGGCCUUCGGGUUGUAAAGCACUUUUGUCCGGAAAGAAAUGGCACUUACUAAUAUUAGGUGUGGAUGACGGUACCGGAAGAAUAAGGACCGGCUAACUACGUGCCAGCAGCCGCGGUAAUACGUAGGGUCCAAGCGUUAAUCGGAAUUACUGGGCGUAAAGCGUGCGCAGGCGGUUGUGCAAGACCGAUGUGAAAUCCCCGGGCUUAACCUGGGAAUUGCAUUGGUGACUGCACGGCUAGAGUGUGUCAGAGGGGGGUAGAAUUCCACGUGUAGCAGUGAAAUGCGUAGAGAUGUGGAGGAAUACCGAUGGCGAAGGCAGCCCCCUGGGAUAACACUGACGCUCAUGCACGAAAGCGUGGGGAGCAAACAGGAUUAGAUACCCUGGUAGUCCACGCCCUAAACGAUGUCAACUAGUUGUUGGGGAUUCAUUUCCUUAGUAACGUAGCUAACGCGUGAAGUUGACCGCCUGGGGAGUACGGUCGCAAGAUUAAAACUCAAAGAAAUUUUGACGGA